rnacentral:ncRNA from 1 species
UUUAAUUGGCAAACCUGUCGAAAGGCAGUGACGCAAAGUUUAGUGUCUAACCGGAGAAAUCCGUAUGAUUG